GGAGAGGAGGUCGCCAUUGCACACACCGCCACCAGUUACAACCGUCACCGAAACCAGGACAGAUUCACUGUUUGAGGAAAACAAAUGAUCUUCUGAAUCAAGAAGUGUCAAAAUUGCAGAAAUAAAUUCAAAGUUUGAAAUAGAAAAGUGAAAUGAAAGAUGUGGGAAAUCAAAAGCUUCGCAAAAAUAUUAAGGAAGCUACAACAUUGGCAGCAGAUGAGUCUUCUAAGCAUAAAGUAAUGCUAGAAAUUUUUGAGUCCACUAUUAUUCAGUGUGAUUUGUAUUGAACAUAUGAGUCACUAUAAGUCAGCUCCACAACAAGGCCAGAAACGGGGUAGAAGUCGCCCCACAGGGUCUGGGAAGAAAUAGCAGCUGGCUUCUCUUGCUAGAUCCGUUUCUCAAUGAACUCACCAGCAUGUUCGAGCGAAGCACUGAGACGGGCUCUGUUUGGGUUACACUUAAACGAUCAUCCUUGAAGUCUAAAGCCAUUAGGAAUAAAAUGGCAACUGCUGGUGAAGUAAUUGAGUAUAGAUGCCGUAUCCAUGCCACCAAUGGAAAAAAGACACUCUCUACUUUGGUACGUGUGUAUCUUAUAUAUUAUGAGCUUAUCAUUCUCAUUUCUCAUUGUGCUUUUAGAAGGUUCAUGUUAAUUGGAAAUUUUUGAGUAGCGCAAACUUAUAUCAUAGAUAAUCUUGUGACUAAUUGUAGGCAUAAAGUUCCUAGUCUAACUCCACCAUGUGGCAUGAUAUUCGUCUCCCCCACUUGUAAUUAUUAAGGGCUCUCACAUAGAUAAUACUGAAUCUAAAAUAGGGAAAGUGAAAGGAGGAUAGUUGAAGCAUCACUACUAGUGUUUCUUCAUUCAGCUAUUCUCUUUUACCUUUUUUUUUUCUUAAUCUCUUAAUGGGCAUGGUUUACAAUCUCAUGUGUUUAUGAAUUACUCAAAUUUUAAAACCCAAUUCUUGUUUGAUCAUAUUUACAGUCACAGAGAUCUCAAAUUUCAUCUACUGUAAUUGAUUUUAAACCUGUAAAUUUAUAGAAAUAAAAAUCUCUCAAGAAAUACUAAACAAUAUUUGAUACCAAACUAACUCCCAAAAACAAAAUAGUAUUCAGCAUGAAUUAAUCUAAACCAACUCAGCUGUAUAUGGACUUAUGAAAAUUAUCUAAAAUAUUUGUUAUAAAUAUGCCAAUGUUUCCUGCAUAAGUCCUUUUCACUAUUAAUAACUUAUUUUUUUAAUUGGAAAAAUGCAUCGGAGGUGCUGUUGUGUUGGA